AACGUACGCUGGCGGCACGCCUAACACAUGCAAGUCGAACGAAGUAGCAAUACUUAGUGGCAGACGGGUGAGUAACAUGUAGGUAUCUGCCCUUUGGCCUGGAAUAACACGAGGAAACUUGUGCUAAUACUGGAUAAGUCUUUACGGAGAAAGCUUUAUGCACCAUUGGAUGAGCCUGCACUUGAUUAGUUUGUUGGUAGGGUAAUGGCCUACCAAGACUGUGAUCAAUAGCUGAUUUGAGAGGAUGAUCAGCCACAUUGGGACUGAGACACGGCCCAAACUCCUACGGGAGGCAGCAGUGGGGAAUCUUGCACAAUGGAGGAAACUCUGAUGCAGCGAUGCCGCGUGAGUGAAGAAGGCCCUUGGGUUGUAAAGCUCUUUCGUCGGGGAAGAAAAUGACUGUACCCGAAUAAGAAGGUCCGGCUAACUUCGUGCCAGCGGCCGCGGUAAUACGAAGGGACCUAGCGUAGUUCGGAAUUACUGGGCUUAAAGAGUUCGUAGGUGGUUGAAAAAGUUGGUGGUGAAAUCCCAGAGCUUAACUCUGGAACUGCCAUCAAAACUUUUCAGCUAGAGUAUGAUAGAGGAAAGCAGAAUUUCUAGUGUAGAGGUGAAAUUCGUAGAUAUUAGAAAGAAUACCAAUUGCGAAGGCAGCUUUCUGGAUCAUUACUGACACUGAGGAACGAAAGCAUGGGUAGCGAAGAGGAUUAGAUACCCUCGUAGUCCAUGCCGUAAACGAUGUGUGUUAGACGUUGGAAAUUUAUUUUCAGUGUCGCAGCGAAAGCGAUAAACACACCGCCUGGGGAGUACGACCGCAAGGUUAAAACUCAAAUGAAUUGACGGGGACCCGCACAAGUAGUGGAGCAUGUGGUUUAAUUCGAAGAUACGCGCAGAACCUUACCAACACUUGACAUGUUCGUCGCGACUCUAAGAGAUUAGAGUUUUCGGUUCGGCCGGACGAAACACAGGUGCUGCAUGGCUGUCGUCAGCUCGUGUCGUGAGAUGUUGGGUUAAGUCCCGCAACGAGCGCAACCCUCACUUUUAGUUGCCAUCAUUAAGUUGGGCACUCUGAAAGAACUGCCAGUGAUAAGUUGGAGGAAGGUGGGGAUGACGUCAAGUCCUCAUGGCCCUUACGUGUUGGGCUACACACGUGCUACAAUGGUAUCUACAACAGGAAGCAAGACUGCGAAGUUAAGCAAAUCCUUAAAAGAUACCUCAGUUCGGAUUGCACUCUGCAACUCGAGUGCAUGAAGCUGGAAUUACUAGUAAUCGUGGAUCAGCGUGCCACGGUGAAUGCGUUCCCGGGUCUUGUACACACCGCCCGUCACACCAUGGGAGUUGGUUCUACCUUAAGGCAAGGUUUCAAACCCUUGACCACGGUAUAGUCAGCGACUGGGGUG
rnacentral:rRNA from 1 species